UCACCUCCACAGGUUGGCCGGCCCCCAGGCUGGGCUGGGUGAGUAUCUCUUCAAAAAGCUCACCUCAAGCACCACUAGGAGC
rnacentral:pre_miRNA from 1 species